UGGAUGUGGGGGUUUUUGCUGGCCUUUCUGAGGUCAGCUCCCCUGAAAUUUAUUAGCGGAACAAUGUGUUAACCGUUCAUUGGUGUGAUAACUAUCUACGCUAUUGACGGAAAGCAGUUCAGCUUCUAACAGUCUAUUGACUUGGACAAUUUUUUAAUUAAUGUGACCUCAAAUCAGGUAGGACUACCCGCUGAACUUAA
rnacentral:misc_RNA from 1 species